rnacentral:tmRNA from 2 species
GGGGCUGACAUAGCUUUCGACGAUGGGAAUUUAACAGGAUAUUUUGCAAGUCGACCGUACCCGUACAGUACAUUUUUAAUUGUAAACACAAUUACAGACAAAGCUACUGAGAAGCUUCGUGUAUUUGCUUCAGCAUUUACACCUGCAACAUCAGCAGUUGCUGCGUAACUAACGCAGUCAUUUGAAUUCGCUAGGCGACACGGCGAGUUUGAGUGAUAUAUACUUGUCGCUUGCUGCGCGUAGGGAAGCGGCCUACGCGUGGGACUUUUUCCGCGUAACCCGGCGUGAUGUUUCUGACUAUAUUUUAGUCACGACGAGUUAUAAAACAAUUUAAUAUAGCCUAAGCUUGUAGACGAAUAUCCAUGUUACCUGUCGGACCGGGGGGCAGUACCCCGCAGCUCCACCA